rnacentral:ncRNA from 1 species
GGCCGAAUAUCUAAGGUUUCCAGAGUAAAGCUGAUCUGCUCUGGGUAAGUCGGGGCCUAAGGAGAGGUCGAAAGACGUAUCCGAUGGACAACAGGUUUAGAUUCCUGUACCACAUAUAAACAGAACUGUGGGGACGCAUGUGGAAAGCAUAAGCCGGGAAUGGAAAUACCGGUACAAGCGGAAGAGGUGUCAGGCUGGCAAAUCCGCCUGGCAAGCCAAAGACGUGAUGUGGAGCGAAAUAAAAGUAGCGAAGUAUGUGAGCCAUGUGCCGAGAAAAGCCGCUAUUGUUUUAUAUGUGCCCGUACCGUAAACCGACACAGGUGGAUGAGGAGAGAAUCCUAAGGCCGACGGAAGAAGCAUUGUUAAGGAACUCGGCAAAAUGACCCCGUAACUUCGGGAGAAGGGGUGCCCACUUCAGGGUGGGCCGCAGAGAAUAGGCUCAAGCAACUGUUUAGCAAAAACACAGGUCUAUGCGAAACCGUAAGGUGAAGUAUAUGGGCUGACGCCUGCCCGGUGCUGGAAGGUUAAGAGGAGAGGUUAGUCGCAAGAUGAAGCUUUGAAUUUAAGCCCCAGUAAACGGCGGCCGUAACUAUAACGGUCCUAAGGUAGCGAAAUUCCUUGUCGGGUAAGUUCCGACCCGCACGAAAGGCGUAAUGAUUUGAGCACUGUCUCGACAAUGCAUCCGGUGAAAUUGAAGUACCAGUGAAGAUGCUGGUUACCCGCGCCAGGACGGAAAGACCCCAUGGAGCUUUACUCCAGUUUGGUACUGGGAUUCGGUACUGCAUGUACAGGAUAGGUGGGAGACUGAGAAAUUGGAACGCCAGUUUCAAUGGAGUCACUGUUGGGAUACCACCCCUGCAGUAUUGGGUUUCUAACCAGCCGCUGUGAUCCAGCGGUGGGACAAUGCCAGGCGGGGAGUUUGACUGGGGCGGUCGCCUCCGAAAGGGUAUCGGAGGCGCUCAAAGGUUCCCUCAGAAUGGUCGGAAACCAUUUGAAGAGUGCAAAGGCAGAAGGGAGCUUGACUGCGACACCGACGGGUGGAGCAGGUACGAAAGUAGGACUUAGUGAUCCGGUGGCAUAAAGUGGGAUUGCCAUCGCUCAACGGAUAAAAGCUACCCUGGGGAUAACAGGCUUAUCACUCCCAAGAGUUCACAUCGACGGAGUGGUUUGGCACCUCGAUGUCGGCUCAUCGCAUCCUGGGGCUGUAGCAGGUCCCAAGGGUUGGGCUGUUCGCCCAUUAAAGCGGUACGCGAGCUGGGUUCAGAACGUCGUGAGACAGUUCGGUCCCUAUCCGGCGCGGGCGGAGGAUAUUUGAGAGGAGCUGUCCUUAGUACGAGAGGACCGGGAUGGACGGACCACUGGUGUAUCUGCUGUCGACCAACGGCAUGGCAGAGUAGCCAAGUCCGGAAGGGAUAAACGCUGAAGGCAUCUAAGCGUGAAGCCCCCCUCAAGAUGAGAUAUCCCUCACAUAAGUGAGUAAGAUCCCUUGAAGAGUACAAGGUAGAUAGGGCAGAGGUGGAAGCACGGUAACGUGUGGAGCUGACUGUUACUAAUCGAUC